rnacentral:rRNA from 1 species
AUUGAACGCUGGCGGCAGGCCUAACACAUGCAAGUCGAGCGGAUGAAGGGAGCUUGCUCCUGUAUUCAGCGGCGGACGGGUGAGUAAUGCCUAGGAAUCUGCCUGGUAUUUGGGGAUAACGUCCGGAAACGGGCGCUAAUACCGCAUACGUCCUGAGGUAGAAAGUGGGGGAUCUUCGGACCUCACGCUAUCAGAUGAGCCUAGGUCGGAUUAGCUAGUUGGUGGGGUAAAGGCCUACCAAGGCGACGAUCCGUAACUGGUCUGAGAGGAUGAUCAGUCACACUGGAACUGAGACACGGUCCAGACUCCUACGGGAGGCAGCAGUGGGGAAUAUUGGACAAUGGGCGAAAGCCUGAUCCAGCCAUGCCGAGUGUGUGAAGAAGGUCUUCGGAUUGUAAAGCACUUUAAGUUGGGAGGAAGGGCAGUAAGUUAAUACCUUGCUGUUUUGACGUUACCAACAGAAUAAGCACCGGCUAACUUCGUG